rnacentral:lncRNA from 1 species
GGGCUUCAGAGGGAGUAGAAAGAGUUUCUUUCUACUUAGAAAUAGAGAAAAAGUCGAAUUGCACGGCGGCAAUACCCUCAUCAUCAUAAUUUGCCAUCUAUACUAAGUAAAUGCAAAAAAAAUAAAAACUAAUCUGUAACCAGUAAAAAAAAUUGUGUAGAGCCGAAGAGAAAGAAGAGAUAGAGCGGAGAGCUAGAGAGCCGGAAGAAGAGGGCCGGGCU